rnacentral:lncRNA from 1 species
CAGAACUCUUCUAAUAUUUCGGAUUAAAAAAAUGUAACUUCGUAGCUCUCAGAGUGACUGUUAAGAAAGCUGUGCACAUUGUUCCAGAGCAGACCUUGUCCGACCAAAACUGCUGAGCACAGCUUUUAUAUUGUUGUAUUAAUGCAAUUUAUUUACUAUGAAAUGUUCACAUUAUUGAAUCCUAUUUUUCUACCAGCUGGUCAUACUGUGAAAAGCAAACCAUCCAGCCUAAAUAAAUAAAACAGUACCACUGUGCUGGCAUGUCAGAAGACAAGCAGUGAAGUGUGCAGCUGAAGUGCAGGAGGAACUGAGGGGUUUUAACUUGGAGGGAUUGGGGUAUCAGAAAGGGAGUACUGCAAAGGUGAGUUGAGGAGGUUUGGAACUAUUGGGGAACAGGAGGUGAGGGCUCUGAGCUUGGCAGGCUUCAGAGCCACGAGGCACUGUAAAGUGGGGCUCUGGUAGUGUGGGCUCAAUGCUUAUCGUGGUAAUCCUACUUUAAUCCCAGUAUAUACCCUGACCUUGAAGAAAGGAAUCUGAGAACAGAGUAUUGUCUGCUUACCUCUCUGCCAUCCUUGACUUUGCAGCUCUCAGCUAAGAUCCGCUUGAAUAAGCAGCUACAUUUCUUGGUGCUUAUCCAAGCCACGGAUGCUCCUUGCAAAACCUGGUUCUGAAGAGACGAGCAUCGGGGCAGAAUACCUGGAAGUCUGACACCAGUCUUGCAGUGUGGCAUGGAACACGGACUGCAGCAGUCAGAGACCUGACCUGUGCCUCACUUCAGAUCAAAUGAUGAGCAAUCACAUCUGGAGCAGGAUGCAGAAGAUCUGAAUAGAAGCCCAAGUUCUGUCACAGAUGCACAACAGAUUUUGGCAUGAUAGCUCCUGAUGUAGAUAUAUUCUGGCUAA